AUUGAACGCUGGCGGCAGGCCUAACACAUGCAAGUCGAGCGAGCGGCGGACGGGUGAGUAAUGUAUGGGGACUGCCCGAUAGAGGGGGAUAACUACUGGAAACGGUGGCUAAUACCGCAUACUAUCGGAUAACCCAUAUGGGAUUAGCUAGUAGGUGGGGUAAAGGCUCACCUAGGCGACGAUCUAUAGCUGGUCUGAGAGGAUGAUCAGCCACACUGCGGUUGAGACACGGCCCAGUCUCCAAUGGAGGCAGCAGUGGGGAAUAUUGCACAAUGGGCGCAAGCCUGAUGUAGCCAUGCCGAGUGGAGUAAGAAGGCAUUAGGGUUGGAAAGUACUUUCAGCGGGGAGGCGUUACCCGCAGAAGAAGCACCGGCUAACUCCGUGCCAGCCGCCGCGGUAAUAC
rnacentral:rRNA from 1 species